rnacentral:misc_RNA from 1 species
UUUUUUUUUUCAAAAAAAAAAUGCUACAUACUAAACCGCACCAUACACCAGUUGAAAGAAUGUGAAUUGAGAACUUUAUGUGCACAGCGAAUCUACCCUCACGACAGAAAUGAUAAUUCAAGUAGAAAACUCCAGUACAACAAACUCAAUUCCAUGAGCUGCUGUGAGACAAUAAAUAUUUUCUGGCUAAUUUCGUAUUUCAGCCAAUCACAAACUAUCACAAACUAAUUCCAUCACAAUCAGGGCAAU